rnacentral:lncRNA from 1 species
GCUGAGUACAAGCAAAACAAGACCAAAGGAAGCUACCUGAGCAGGUAUUCCAGAUACUCAUGUCAUACACCAAGGUUGUACCAGUGCCCCUUUCUCUGUGACACAUCCAUCCACUGGAAACUUUCGUACAACUAGCUGAAAGAAGAGAAACAUCCUAUUUCAUGUCACUGGAGCCCUAAUGAUCGCAGCCAUUUCAGGAAAUGCCAUCAAUUACAGUGAGGAGCUCAUUCAGAAGUGAAAGAUGAGUUCCAUUCUCUGUUACUUAGAGGGUGGAUAUCCUCCUCCACUGAAUGCAAACUAUUAAGUAAUGAAAAGACAGCACUCCAAGCAAUAUAGAUUUAUAGGCCAACCUGGCAAUCAAGGGUAACUGACAUGAAAAUGGAUUGCUUCACAUUUUAAUUACAAAGAUACUCUUCAGUACCAUAAAUUGAAGAAAACACUAACUUUUUGUGGCUACUGUAAUUGUCAAAGUAUAAUUACCUGUGUUUUCUCACCUACGUAUUUGAGAUAGAGACAAAACCAAUUUUACGGCCCCUACAUUUUGAGAACCCAACUGCAUCUGAGAACCAAACUUCUUGGAAAUUCUAAAGGGCAUGCCAUAGGCAGCCUAGCUACUUUAACAGAGCAUUUCAAUCAGUUUUUCUCCACGGUUUGGCCAAAUAAUUAGUAUGUUUCCUGGCAACACAUUGAGAAAGAAAGCUGGUAUAGAAUCUUCCUAACAAUGGACCAAGAUGAGAGAAGAAGCCAGUCAUAUCCAUUUCUCAACCUUCGGUCUUCUUGCAUAUGGGGGAAAGGUGUGUCCUCAAUUUCAAAUAUGUUUGAAGAUUUAACUA